rnacentral:rRNA from 2 species
CAUGCAAGUCGAGCGAACAGAUGAGAAGCUUGCUUCUCUGAUGUUAGCGGCGGACGGGUGAGUAACACGUGGGUAACCUACCUAUAAGACUGGGAUAACUCCGGGAAACCGGGGCUAAUACCGGAUAAUAUUUUGAACCGCAUGGUUCAAUAGUGAAAGACGGUUUCGGCUGUCACUUAUAGAUGGACCCGCGCCGUAUUAGCUAGUUGGUAAGGUAACGGCUUACCAAGGCGACGAUACGUAGCCGACCUGAGAGGGUGAUCGGCCACACUGGAACUGAGACACGGUCCAGACUCCUACGGGAGGCAGCAGUAGGGAAUCUUCCGCAAUGGGCGAAAGCCUGACGGAGCAACGCCGCGUGAGUGAUGAAGGUCUUCGGAUCGUAAAACUCUGUUGUUAGGGAAGAACAAAUUUGUUAGUAACUGAACAAGUCUUGACGGUACCUAACCAGAAAGCCACGGCUAA